AAGUGGUAGGAGAGCGUUCUAUUUGCGUCGAAGGUAUACCGGUAAGGAGUGCUGGAGCGAAUAGAAGUGAGCAUGCAGGCAUGAGUAGCGAUAAUUAAUGUGAGAAUCAUUAACGCCGUAAACCCAAGGUUUCCUACGCGAUGCUCGUCAUCGUAGGGUUAGUCGGGUCCUAAGUCGAGUCCGAAAGGGGUAGACGAUGGCAAAUUGGUUAAUAUUCCAAUACCAACAUUAGUGUGCGAUGGAAGGACGCUUAGGGCUAAGGGGGCUAGCGGAUGGAAGUGCUAGUCUAAGGUCGUAGGAGGUUAUACAGGCAAAUCCGUAUAACAAUACUCCGAGAACUGAAAGGCUUUUUGAAGUCUUCGGAUGGAUAGAAGAACCCCUGAUGCCGUCGAGCCAAGAAAAGUUUCUAAGUUUAGCUAAUGUUGCCCGUACCGUAAACCGACACAGGUGGGUGGGAUGAGUAUUCUAAGGCGCGUGGAAGAACUCUCUUUAAGGAACUCUGCAAAAUAGCACCGUAUCUUCGGUAUAAGGUGUGGUUAGCUUUGUAUUAGGAUUUACUCCGAAAGCAAGGAAACUUACAACAAAGAGUCCCUCCCGACUGUUUACCAAAAACACAGCACUCUGCUAACUCGUAAGAGGAUGUAUAGGGUGUGACGCCUGCCCGGUGCUCGAAGGUUAAUUGAUGGGGUUAGCAUUAGCGAAGCUCUUGAUCGAAGCCCGAGUAAACGGCGGCCGUAACUAUAACGGUCCUAAGGUAGCGAAAUUCCUUGUCGGUUAAAUACCGACCUGCAUGAAUGGCGUAACGAGAUGGGAGCUGUCUCAAAGAGGGAUCCAGUGAAAUUGUAGUGGAGGUGAAAAUUCCUCCUACCCGCGGCAAGACGGAAAGACCCCGUGGACCUUUACUACAGCUUGACACUGCUACUUGGAUAAGAAUGUGCAGGAUAGGUGGGAGGCUUUGAGUAUAUGACGCCAGUUGUAUAUGAGCCAUUGUUGAGAUACCACUCUUUCUUAUUUGGGUAGCUAACCAGCUUGAGUUAUCCUCAAGUGGGACAAUGUCUGGUGGGUAGUUUGACUGGGGCGGUCGCCUCCCAAAUAAUAACGGAGGCUUACAAAGGUUGGCUCAGAACGGUUGGAAAUCGUUCGUAGAGUAUAAAGGUAUAAGCCAGCUUAACUGCAAGACAUACAAGUCAAGCAGAGACGAAAGUCGGUCUUAGUGAUCCGGUGGUUCUGUGUGGAAGGGCCAUCGCUCAAAGGAUAAAAGGUACCCCGGGGAUAACAGGCUGAUCUCCCCCAAGAGCUCACAUCGACGGGGAGGUUUGGCACCUCGAUGUCGGCUCAUCGCAUCCUGGGGCUGGAGCAGGUCCCAAGGGUAUGGCUGUUCGCCAUUUAAAGCGGUACGCGAGCUGGGUUCAGAACGUCGUGAGACAGUUCGGUCCCUAUCUGCCGUGGGCGUAAGAAGAUUGAAGAGAUUUGACCCUAGUACGAGAGGACCGGGUUGAACAAACCACUGGUGUAGCUGUUGUUCUGCCAAGAGCAUCGCAGCGUAGCUAAGUUUGGAAAGGAUAAACGCUGAAAGCAUCUAAGCGUGAAGCCAACUCUAAGAUGAAUCUUCUCUAAGCUCUCUAGAAGACUACUAGUUUGAUAGGCUGGGUGUGUAAUGGAUGAAAGUCCUUUAGCUGACCAGUACUAAUAGAGCGUUUGGCUUAUCUUUA
rnacentral:rRNA from 3 species